rnacentral:rRNA from 1 species
CUACGGGACGCUCCAGUGAGGAAUAUUGCACAAUGGGGGGAACCCUGAUGCAGCAACGCCGCGUGGAGGAUGACGCAUUUCGGUGUGUAAACUCCUUUUAUAUGUCAAGAAAAUGACGGUAGCAUAUGAAUAAGCACCGGCUAACUCCGUGCCAGCAGCCGCGGUAAUACGGAGGGUGCAAGCGUUACUCGGAAUCACUGGGCGUAAAGGACGCGUAGGCGGGUUGGAAAGUCAGGUGUGAAAUCCUACAGCUUAACUGUAGAACUGCACUUGAAACUUCUAAUCUAGAGUAUGGGAGGGGGAGAUGGAAUUAGUGGUGUAGGGGUAAAAUCCGUAGAUAUCACUAGGAAUACCUAAAGCGAAGGCGAUCUCCUGGAACAUUACUGACGCUAAGGCGUGAAAGCGUGGGGAGCAAACAGGAUUAGAUACCCCGGUAGUC